rnacentral:rRNA from 1 species
AUGGCCGCGGUAUUUUGACCGUGCAAAGGUAGCAUAAUCAUUAGCUUAUUAAUUGUAAGAUUGUAUGAAUGGUUGGACGAAAUAUUAACUGUCUCAUAAUUAUUAUUUANAAUUUAAUUUUUGAGUUAAAAAGCUUAAAUUUUUUUAAUGGACGANAANACCCUAUAGAUCUUUAUUUUAAAAUUUUAAUUGUUUUUGUAUUAUUUAAUUUUUUUAAAAUUUUAUUGGGGUGAUAUUGAGAUAUGUUUAACUCUUUUUCUUUUUUUUUCAUUAAUAUAUGUUUGAUUGACCUUUUAUUAUUGUCUAUAAAAUUAAAAUACCUUAGGGAUAACAGCGUAAUUCCUCUUGANAGUUCAUAUUGACAGCGGAAAUUGCGACCUCGAUGUUGAAUUAAAAUUAGUAUUAGGUGUAAAAUUUUAAUGACUAGGUCUGUUCGACCUUUAAAAUCUUACAUGAUCUGAGU